AUGUCGCUGAUCCAGGAUCUGCUGAAGGAGAUCCAGGACCUGAAGGAGUCCAGAGACGACCUGAAGAAAGAGGUCAAGAGCCUCCAGAACCAACUCAACCAGCUGAACAUGAGUGAGCUGGUUGACAGAAUCAACGAAGUGGAACAGUACUGCCACCGACUGGACAACCUGGACUCUGCCACCAAAGAGCUGCAGGACAGAGUUGGGCGUUACCCAGACCCAGACGAGCUCAUCCAGUGUGUAACCUGGGACAUCAUGCAGACCACCUUGGUUAGCGAGCAACAGAAUCUGCAAAAGGAAAUCAGGCACUCAGUCGCUGUCCCCACAUCAGUUGUCAUGACCACCAUGACUCCUUUCAGCACCUCUGCCAAUGCCAACACUGGAGCUGCUGCCUUCACUCAUGGCACUGUCACUGCCAGCCAGCAUAGGGGGGCACUGCCCCAGCAGUCCCUCUCUGAUGGAGCUGCUGCCUUCACUCCUGGCACUGUCACUGUCAGCCAGCAUGGGGGGGCACUGCCCCAGCAGUCCCUCUCUGAUGGAGCUGCUGCCUUCACUCCUGGCACUGUCACUGUCAGCCAGCAUGGGGGGGCACUGCCCCUGCAGUCCCUCUCUGAUGGAGCUGCUGCCUUCACUCCUGGAACUGUCACUGCCAGCCAGCAUGGGGGGGCACUGCCCCAGCAGUCCCUCUCUGAUGGAGCUGCUGCCUUCACUCCUGGAACUGUCACUGCCAGCCAGCAUGGGGGGGCACUGCCCCAGCAGUCCCUCUCUGAUGGAGCUCUGAUGGUGGGCAGCAAACCCCUGUCUCGUGUGGCCAGCGGGGCAGAGCGUUACCCAGAGACAGUGGAGGCCCUGAGGGACGUGGGCAGGCUCAGGGAGAGACACAACACCCUGGAGACCAGAGUAGAGCUGCUGGAAGCAGGCAAGGCCGACCAGGCCCAGCUCCAGCACCUCCGGGAGCUCCUCACUGACAUGGGUGACAGGGAUGUGCCAGACAAACUGUUGGAUGAACUGAAUCAUCUGAGAGUUCUGGUCGACAGCCUGAUGGGUGACAGAGCCAAGCUGGGAGAACUGGAGCAGCUGAUUCUGAACAUAGGGACAGUUCAGGGCUCAGAGGGAGGCUCAGAAACAGGGUCAGACAGUGAGGACUCCUCUGACUCUCCUAAGCAAGGACAGCUCAGACUGCAGAUAUUAUACCUCAGGAACGCAGUGCAGAAAGUGGAGGAAGAGGUGCUACUGCUGAAGGCUGAGCAGAAGACCAAGAAAGACAGACAGCUACAGGAUCAGGUCAGACAGACAGACAGACAGACAGACAGACAGACAGACAGACAGACAGACAGACAGACAGACAGACAGACAGACAGACAGACAGACAGACAGACAGAC
rnacentral:lncRNA from 8 species